CGGGGGAGGCUGGAUCCUGGGCUGUGUCCCCGGAGCCCUGGGCUCCGGGGCCUGCGCUGUUGGAUUCGCGCUCCCGACCCGCAGCCCCCU
rnacentral:pre_miRNA from 1 species